rnacentral:rRNA from 1 species
UACGUAGGGGGCAAGCGUUGUCCGGAAUCAUUGGGCGUAAAGAGCGUGUAGGCGGCCCGGUAAGUCCGCUGUGAAAGUCCAGGGCUCAACCCUGGGAUGCCGGUGGAUACUGUCGGGCUCGAGUCCGGAAGAGGAGUGUGGAAUUCCUGGUGUAGCGGUGAAAUGCGCAGAUAUCAGGAGGAACACCAAUGGCGAAGGCAGCUUGCUGGGACGGUACUGACGCUGAGACGCGAAAGCGUGGGGAGCGAACAGG